CUUGUGUGUGUAGAAGGUGUUCUACACAGGGAAUAGACGUUGAAUCAACACGUGUAAGGUGAUUGUAAUAAGUUUCUAUCUCCACCUGAAAGAGAUUGGAUAGUGAAUUUGGGAAUCCUCAAGGGGUAGUUUGAGGCGAGGACGUAAGCAGUGAGGCUGAACCUCAUUAAAAUACUUGAGUUUGCUU